CAACGAGAAGAGUGGUUGAGACGAAGGAGAGAUCUGAGCAACUUUCUCAAUCUCCAGAGAGAUAUGCUUCAAACUGAGAAUUCUCAACAAAAAGGGAACUUGGGGGAGCUUGGUGUGCCUAAUCAUCACAGGAGACAUACCCUUCUUAUCAAAUUUCGAUGUUUCCAGUUGUACAGUAAGAUUGGUAUGAGGAUGAGUGAAGAAGCAGAGUCUAAGGCUUUCUACAAGCAGAGUCUAAGUGGUCAAAGGCUUUUCUAAGGUGCUGCAAGAUUCCUAAGGAAUCGAACAGAUGGAUGAUACAUUCUUCCAUCACAAAAACGACUCAGCGUCAGCUUAAGAGAUUCUCUUAAUGCGGUUAAUGUCGUAAUGGGUGAAGAUGAAGAAGAAGACCCUGAAGAAAACCCUGAAGAAGACCCUGAAGAAGGGGAAACAAUGAAGGUGGCACGAAUUUGGUUUAAAUCUCUCCAAGCUAGGAAAGAGGCGAGUUCUUUUCUAUUGGGUUAUUGUCUACUAUAUUUUAUUUCUAUUUCGUUCUUAUCUAACAUUAUUAUUUUUGGAGAAGAAGUGAAUGGAGUUCCCAUUCGUCUUGUACGUGCUGCGAACCAUCGGAUUGUUUUGUUAGUGAGAGGCCUUGAUCCUGAAAAGUCAGAAUCAGAUAUCAAGGCUCAACUAACAAAACAUUUUGAUUCGUGCGGUGGGAUCAAGAAAAUCUUAUUCCUAAAGAUGAAAACGGUCGCUGUUUAAGUUUUGGAUACGUCUUUAUGGUUCAGGAAGGUCAUAAAGCAGAGAUGAAGGAUUCAUCUGUAAUGGAAGGUGGUGGUGUGAUCAGGGUCUCAGAUUGCACCUCCAGGCGAGGUUUAAGAAAAUUAAGGAAAAGAUGGAGGCGGAGGGGUGGGUGAAUUCUGAGGAGGAAGAGGAAGAGGAAGAGGAUGAGGAAGAUGGGAUAGUGUUUGGGGAUGAAGAGAUUGAGGAUGAUGAUUCAGAGGGUUCUGAGUAGGUAAAUAAAUUCAGAGGAUGGUUGGUUUAGUUAUUAAGGGUUUGGUCAUUUUGUUAUAGACCUAAACAAUCUAUCUAUCUAAUUAUAAAGUAUGGUAUGGUUCUCUCUCCUGUCAGUGGGCCACCUCGGAUUCCACGUAGGAGCUGACAUGUCCUCAGUUUUCGUUUUGAUUA